rnacentral:sRNA from 1 species
AGCCAUCCGCUCAAGCUCCUCCUCCAGCGCCCGAAGCGAAUCGGGCCUUUCCAGCAAUUUGGGGCGAACAAACGUCAAUCGACGCCUCUCCCGAUUGCCAUUCGCCAUCUUCUCCAAAUCCGCAUCCCAUCCCCGCUCCUUAUACCUAUCGUGCCUGACCGUGAAGCCCUUCCCGAAACGGCCAAAGCCCGUGUUCUCCAUCGUGUACUUGUCCUUGGCCAGGAAUUCUUUCGCGUGCAUUGCGUUUUGGAAGAUGAUCUCCGCGAACCCCGUGUGAUGGUGGAUCUCAACACUGUAGAGCGCACCCUCGCAGAUCCUCGCGGUAAGCUUGUUCAAGCUGCCGAGUGUAAAUUUGCCCUCGACGAUUAUGAUGCCGGCUCUCCCAGUCCGUCGUCCCCUUGUAGCAGGAGCUGGUUGCGGUGGCAUGGCUGGGUGUGACAACAACGCUUGCACAACAGGGCGGAUAGGGACCAGUGGAAUUGCUUUGGUCUCGGCUUUGGGUGGAGUCAUGCUGUGGAAUCCAUUGGUUUGACGGACGGCCUGAGGGGGAGCUGCGACUGCUAUCUUUGCCCACAGAUUAGCCUGCAGAGGAGCCGGUGGAGAAGACGCCAAGUCAAGGAGGCUCUUUUCCUUCGGCUUGCAAACUUGCACUUGAAUCUUCCCGCGUUCAUCGUGGCUCUCGUUCGCACCUACGUUGCCAUUGAGCCGGUUGGCCUGCUUCUAAAUGAAUAUAAGCAGGGGGGAAGAAGAAGAAGAAGAAGAAGAAGAAGAAGAAAAGUCCCAUGAGCCAUACAAAUCCCUCCACCAGCCAGGGCCCUGAAGUACUUAGUAUGGGAUAAAAGCCAAGUACGUACUGCUGCAGGAUGCAUCACGAUCUCGGAGUCUGUGAGCUUCGACAUGACUUCACCAAACUCCUCGAUGAUAUCGUGAGUGUGCUUUGAGAUAGUAUUGGCCGCAUUAUGGAGCUGAAGCUUGCGCAACUGUAUUCGGUGAGGGAAAGAUGUGGUUAUUAUAAAAUUCAAACAUCCAAAUGUUCUCCCCGUUUUUCUUUUCUUUUCUUUUCUUUUUCGUCAAGUCCUUUUGACUUAAACUAUGGAAAUUCCCAUUCCAUAACUAUUCCUAACUUUUCUUAAUUUUCAGAAGAAAAAACUUACAUGUUCAGUAAUGUUCCUCAGUUUUUCUACAACUACCAUCAUCUCAUCAUCAAUGCGUUCGCGCCCCUCAUUCUCCAUGGCCAGGACCUGACCUUCCUUGCCCUGUUGUCAGUGGCCCUUUUGUUGUAAAAGGAGCAUGUGAAGUGGAGAUAAGUGGAGAUGUGACAAUGAUGCGAAGAGCACAAGCCUGUGGUAAAACAAGUGAAGAUGCACACAAAAUCAAUCAGGUGAAAUAAUGGAAGCUCAUGAAUUAAUUGUCUUUUAAAAUAGGAGGGAAAAGAGGUAGAGACAGUAACAGAUAUGAGCUUGUGCAAAGCUAGACAAGAGAUGAGAACAUAUGUGAGAGAGAGAGAGAGAGAGAGAGAGAGAGAGAGAGAGAGAGCAGGACAGAGGAAUAAAGAAGAAGUGAAGUGAAGUGAAGUGUCCAGAAGAUGUGUUAAACAAAAAGAAUCAACAAGAACAAAUAAGCAA